rnacentral:rRNA from 1 species
AUUGAACGCUGGCGGCAUGCUUUACACAUGCAAGUCGAACGGCAGCACGGGCUUCGGCCUGGUGGCGAGUGGCGAACGGGUGAGUAAUAUAUCGGAACGUACCCAGAAGUGGGGGAUAACGUAGCGAAAGUUACGCUAAUACCGCAUACGAUCUAUGGAUGAAAGCAGGGGACCGCAAGUCCUUGUGCUCCUGGAGCGGCCGAUAUCUGAUUAGCUAGUUGGUGAGGUAAAGGCUCACCAAGGCGACGAUCAGUAGCUGGUCUGAGAGGACGACCAGCCACACUGGAACUGAGACACGGUCCAGACUCCUACGGGAGGCAGCAGUGGGGAAUUUUGGACAAAGGGCGCAAGCCUGAUCCAGCAAUGCCGCGUGAGUGAAGAAGGCCUUCGGGUUGUAAAGCUCUUUUGUCAGGGAAGAAACGGUAGAGGCUAAUAUCCUUUGCUAAUGACGGUACCUGAAGAAUAAGCACCGGCUAACUACGUG